UUAGGCCAUAUUUCAUUUCUAUUCUGACCUUUAUUAUUUCCUUCCUUCUACUCACUGUGGGCUUUGUUUAUUCUUUUUCAAGUUCCUUUAAGUAUAAAACUACAUUGUUCAUUUGAGCUUUUUCUUGUUUCUUGAGGUUGGCCUGUAAGGCUAUGAAGUUUCCUCUUAGGACUGCUUUCCCUCUGUCCGACAGAUUUUGGGUUGUUGUGUUCAUUGAUUUCAAGAUAUUUUAUUUUUUAUUUUUUCCUUGAUUUCCUUAACACAUUCAUUGUUUAGUAACAUAUUGUUCAGCAUCCGUGUCUUUGUGCUUUUCAGUUUUCUUCUUGUGAUUGAUUUCAAGUUUCAUAGCAGUUAUCGUCAGAGAAAGAUGCUUGAUAUUUCAAUUUUAAACUUACUGAGACUUGUUUUGUGUCCUAACAUGUGGUCUAUCCUAGAAAAAAUUCCAUGUGUAUUUGAAAAGAAUGCAUAGUCUUCUGCUUUGGGGUGGAAUGCUCUGAAGAUAUCAAUUAAAUCCAUAUGAUCCCAUUGUCAUUUAAGGCCACCAUCUCUCUCUCUUUUUUAAAAUAUAUUUUAUUGAUUUUUUUAUAGCGAGGAAGGGAGAGGGAUAGUUAGAAAUGUCGAUGAGAGA